UACGGAGGGUGCAAGCGUUACCCGGAUUCACUGGGUUUAAAGGGUGCGUAGGCGGAUGCAUAAGUCAGUGGUGAAAUCCCCGAGCUUAACUUGGGAACUGCCGUUGAUACUAUGUGUCUUGAAUAUCGUGGAGGUAAGCGGAAUAUGUCAUGUAGCGGUGAAAUGCUUAGAUAUGACAUAGAACACCGAUUGCGAAGGCAGCUUACUACACGAUCAUUGACGCUGAGGCACGAAAGCGUGGGGAGCAAACAGG
rnacentral:rRNA from 1 species